rnacentral:rRNA from 1 species
UACGGGGGGGGCAAGCGUUGUUCGGAAUUACUGGGCGUAAAGGGUUCGUAGGUGGCCAACUCAGUCAGACGUGAAAUCCCUCAGCUUAACUGGGGAACUGCGUCUGAUACUGGAUGGCUUGAGUUUGGGAGAGGGAUGCGGAAUUCCAGGUGUAGCGGUGAAAUGCGUAGAUAUCUGGAGGAACACCGGUGGCGAAGGCGGCAUCCUGGACCAACACUGACACUGAUGAGCGAAAGCCAGGGGAGCAAACGGGG